UACGUAGGGUGCAAGCGUUGUCCGGAAUUAUUGGGCGUAAAGAGCUCGUAGGCGGUCUGUCGCGUCUGCUGUGAAAACUCAGGGCUUAACCCUGAGCUUGCAGUGGGUACGGGCAGACUAGAGUGCGGUAGGGGAGACUGGAAUUCCUGGUGUAGCGGUGAAAUGCGCAGAUAUCAGGAGGAACACCGGUGGGCGAAGGCGGGUCUCUGGGCCGGUAACU
rnacentral:rRNA from 1 species